rnacentral:rRNA from 1 species
GAAAAGACAUCAACCGAGAUUCCGUAAGUAGUGGCGAGCGAAAGCGGACCAGGCCAGUGCCUGUAGUUCAACUAGCAGAACGAUUUGGAAAGAUCGGCCAGAGCGGGUGACAGCCCCGUAUGCGAAAGUGAGACUACAGGACUUGAGUAGGGCGGGACACGUGAAAUCCUGUCUGAACAUGGGGGGACCACCCUCCAAGCCUAAGUACUCCUCAGCGACCGAUAGUGAACCAGUACCGUG